ensembl:lncRNA
GAGGGAAAAAUCUAUGUACUACUCAAGAACACAAUCAGCUCUGCAAACACUGAAGUGCACCACACACACACACACACACACACACACACACACACACACACACACACGCGCAGACAGACACGGACAGAUACACAGACAGACACACAGACACGGACAGAUACACAGACAGACACACAGACACGCUGACAGACACGCAGACAGACACGCAGACAGACACACAUAGACAGACACGCAGACACGGACACGCAGACACGGACACGCAGACACGGACACGCAGACACGGACACGGACAGAUACACAUAGACAGACACGCAGACACAGACAGACACACACGCAGACACACACGCAGACACACACGCAGACACACACGCAGACACACACGCAGACACACACGCAGACACACACACGCAGACACACACACAGACACACACACACAGACACACACACACAGACACAGACACACACAGAGACACACACAGAGACACUUAUGAUCAUUAUCAUCAAUCUUCUUUUUAUUAUAAUAAUAAUGAUAAUAAUUAAGUAGUGGUAGUAUUAUCAGUAGUAUUAUCAGUAGUAUUAUCAGUAGUAGUAUCAGUAGUAUUAUCAGUAGUAGUAUCAGUAGUAUUAUCAGUAGUAGUAUCAGUAGUAGUAUCAGUAGUAUUAUCGAUCAUAGUAUCAGUAGUAGUAUCAGUAGUAGUAUCAGUAGUAUAGUACGUCUAGUAGUGGUAACUAGUGCUACGGUAAGUAUGAGCAGUAGCACAAAGGACACGUUAUUGUUCAUAAACACGUCCUGCAUAUAAACAGAUCCACUCGCGGUGUGUGUCAGACGUCUGCACCGAGUUCCACUCCACACCGACCCUUAACUUCACACCUUCAGAUGUUUCACAAACCACCGCCUGAGCACCAUCAGUGUUAUUAAAACAUCCUGAGCUUCACAUGUUCCAGCUAAACCAGUGAUGCUAAAGAAAAACAAACACGUGUGCGAGUGUGUGUGUGUGUGUGUGUGUGUGUGUGUGAGUGUGUGUGUGUGCGUCGAGAACGCGUGCAGCGUGUAAAUAUCAAACCCUGAGGUGAGUUACGGAGGUCAGAGCGAAACUCGGAUUUAAACGCCUCACAACAAAAUCCGUUUCGGGCGCGUGAGAAGAGGCUACAGCUAACAUCACGUAGCUUCAACCUCGUCACGUUUUUGUGCUACAUUCGGCCGUAAAAAACACGUCCUGGGCGACUGAACACGUGUAAACCGUGUAAAAUUUCAUUUACAGUCAAACAUUUAUGAAAAACCGCUUGAAGCUGGAUCCUCGAGUCGCAACGAAGAACAACAACAGAAGCAGCUGGACACGUUUCCGUGGCAAUAACUAAACCUGCACGUGUAGCUACAGCCGCGCUCACGUUUGUUUAACUGCGAAAACGCGAAGAAAUCAGGAGAUCUGUAAAGCCCCGCAGGUUCUCGUGUUGAACUCCAACACAGCCUGGAGCUCUGAGGAAGCGCGGCGUAGCGACCUGAAGUUCUCCCGAGGUGCUCGAACGAAGGACGCGUCUCAACGCGAGCUUCACACAACCCGCUGAACACUAAAAUCUGACCUCCACGUCAUCACCGCUCAAAAAGAGAAGAACAAAGAGAACCGUAUGAUUUCGUUUUAAACCUGUUCUGAACUUUCCAGAUUUACAACCUUCAGCUUUCUUCAUCAGCCUGUGCGGUCAAACCUGAUCGGCACCGCUCUUACAAAGUAACGCCUCCAGCCUGACGCCGUCGGAGAACCCUUUCACCCUCACGGUCUUUACAGAACCACCCAUUCACUCACUAGUGCCUCAAAGAGCCCAGAAACGGUUCUUCACAGCAGUGCCACAAGGUUCUCAAAGAACCUUCUUCUCGUCAAGAUCCG